ACCCGACUGCUAUCGGAGUGGGCCUAAGCCAUGCAAGUCGAACGCCCCCGGGCAAUGGCGGGGGCGUGGCGUACGGCUCGGUAACGCGUGGCCAACCUACCCUGCGGAGGGGGAUAACCCCGGGAAACUGGGGCUAAUCCCCCAUAGGGGAUGGGUGCUGGAACUGCCCCGUCCCCGAAAGGCCCAACCACCCAUGCCGUGGUUGGGUGCCGCAGGAUGGGGCUGCGUCCGAUCAGGUAGACGGUGGGGUAACGGCCCACCGUGCCGAUAACCGGUACGGGCCCUGGGAGGGGGAGCCCGGAGAUGGGCACUGAGACAAGGGCCCAGGCCCUACGGGGCGCAGCAGGCGCGAAACCUCCGCUAUGCGCGAAAGCGCGACGGGGCCACUCCGAGUGCCACCCGCUAAGGGUGGCUUUUGCCCAGUCCAAAAGGCUGGGCGAAUAAGGGGAGGGCAAGUUUGGUGUCAGCCGCCGCGGUAAUACCAACUCCCCGAGUGGUCGGGACGAUUAUUGGGCUUAAAGCGUCCGUAGCCGGCCUGGUAAGUCUCCGGUUAAAUCCGGCGUCUCAAGCGCCGGGCUGCCGGAGAUACUGCCAGGCUAGGGAGCGGGAGAGGCGGGCGGUAUUCCCUGGGUAGGGGUAAAAUCCUCAGAUCCAGGGAGGACCAUCAGUGGCGAAGGCGGCCCGCUAGAACGCGUCCGACGGUGAGGGACGAAAGCUGGGGGAGCGAUCCGGAUUAGAUACCCGGGUAGUCCCAGCUGUAAACGAUGCAGGCUAGGUGUGGGGGCACCUUAGGGGUGCCCCUGUGCCGAAGGGAAACCGUUAAGCCUGCCGCCUGGGGAGUACGGCCGCAAGGCUGAAACUUAAAGGAAUUGGCGGGGGAGCACCACAAGGGGUGAAGCCUGCGGUUCAAUUGGAGUCAACGCCCGGAACCUUACCCGGGGAGACAGCAGGA
rnacentral:rRNA from 1 species